rnacentral:rRNA from 1 species
AUUGAACGCUGGCGGCAGGCCUAACACAUGCAAGUCGAACGGUAACAGGAAGAAGCUUGCUUCUUUGCUGACGAGUGGCGGACGGGUGAGUAAUGUCUGGGAAACUGCCUGAUGGAGGGGGAUAACUACUGGAAACGGUAGCUAAUACCGCAUAACGUCGCAAGACCAAAGAGGGGGACCUUCGGGCCUCUGGCCAUCGGAGUGCCCCAGAUGGGAUUAGCUAGUAGGUGGGGUAACGGCUCACCUAGGCGACGAUCCCUAGCUGGUCUGAGAGGAUGACCAGCCACACUGGAACUGAGACACGGUCCAGACUCCUACGGGAGGCAGCAGUGGGGAAUAUUGCACAAUGGGCGCAAGCCUGAUGCAGCCAUGCCGCGUGUAUGAAGAAGGCCUUCGGGUUGUAAAGUACUUUCAGCGGGGAGGAAGGGAGUAAAGUUAAUACCUUUACUCAUUGACGUUACCCGCAGAAGAAGCACCGGCUAACUCCGUG